GGGGUUGCGUCCCCCGGGAGCGUGGCCGAGGAGGAGGAGGAGGAGGAGGAGGAGGCUUCGCCGGAGCGCGGCCCUCAGGUUCACUCGCGGUUCCCAGGCGACUCCGUGACUCCAGUGGAGUCCUCAGCUGUACCCACCUCACAGAUCUCACCACUAUAGAGUCUCUCCUCAAUCUUUGUAAUGAAGUCCUCCUAGAAAUCCAGGGCAGUGGGAAAUUCUGAAGGAAGAUGGUCAUUCUUAAGAGAUCUUCAACGGUUUCUUUGGCUUUUGUAUUCUGGUCAACUAAAAGAGGACAGGCACCAUACUACGAGCUGGAGAAAAAAGCAAUUACCAGACUCAUGUCUGCUGUUGAAAACACUUGGCUCCAGGAAAACUGGGACAAUUGGUCACUUUCUGAACUUGAUCAUUUUCCAAGAGUUCAGGUCAUGUUUUUUAUUUUUUAAUGUAGAAUAUCAGGAUCUUUAAUAUGUGAAGAUUUCUUAUAAAACAAUAGGAAAAUGAAGAUAGAAGUGUAGAAAAUGGGCACAGGGAAAAUCCAACUUACAUAAGAAGAAAUAAGAUUGGCUCCAAAUAUAUUAAAAAUAUUUAACCAACUCAAUUCAAAAGAUGCAAAUUAAUAUAAACUCUCAUUUAAAAAAUAAGCAAAUGACAAAAAAUUAUAAUAUUCCAUGUCGAAGAGGACAUAAUGAAGUAGAUACUCUUGUAAUAAGUACUGAAGGGAAAUUUGCCAAUAUGGAUCAAGAGACUUAAAAAUGAUACACUCACUGUUUUCAAUGAUUUGGGUUCUAGAAAUGUACUUUAAGAAAAUAAUAACUAAAAUUUUCCAUGAAAACAUAUAUACAGUAAAUCCUUGGAUUGCAAGCAGCUUGUUCUGCAAGUGUUCUGCAAGACAAGCAAACAUUUCUAAUAAAUUUGAACUUGAUGAACAAGUGAUGUCUUGUUGGUAGUAGUACAUGAAACUGAACAUCACGUGAUCUCAACUGAGCCAACUGGUCUUCCCUCUUUCUCUGUCUCUUUCUGUCUCACUGUCUCUCUGUCUCUCUGUCUCUCUCUUUCUCUUUGUCUCUCUGUCUUAUGAGUGGUCAUCUCUCAACAGCCAGAGGUUAUGGAGAAGAUCUGGUCUGUAGUACAGGAGGAGGAAAAGGCAGAGGAACCUUUCACUGUGACUGAGAUUAGGAAGAUGCAUAAAAUGUGAGAAACAGUGCAAAAUUUUGUAGAAGAGUAUCACCUGAGUAAGGCUGUAGCAGUGCCAGUGAUUAAUCUGUUCAACAAAAAUGCAAUGUCACAUUUUAUGAAAUCUUUAAAAGGAAGCUAAAGCAAUAGGAUAAGUUCCUUGUUAAAAUUUUAUAGAAAUAAAAAGAUUCCAUUGAGCCACUAGAUAGUAGUGAUUCUGUUAGCGAUAGUGAAAGUCAUUGUACAUAAUAAACCUCCUCUCUUGUCUCCCUCACAUCAGCCACAAAGAUUUUUAAAGGAAAGUCCAGGUUAAUUUGUUUACCUUUCUUUGUAUUUUGUAUUGUCUUUUUUAUUUUGUAUUAUAGUAUUAUAAUCAUUGUUAAAUGAAUAAUUUUGGGUUAUGGAACAAGUCAUCUGAAUUUCUAUUAUUUCUUAUAAUGGAAUGAAUUGUGCUCACAAACCAAGGUUUGACUGAUAAGGAUGAUCAUCACAGUAUUAUUAUUUCUAAAUAAAUUAUAGUAUAUGAAUAUAUUAUUGUGCAACAUGAAAAAAUACUUUGAAAGAUGUUUUCUA